UACGUAGGGUGCGAGCGUUGUCCGGAAUUACUGGGCGUAAAGAGCUCGUAGGUGGUUUGUCGCGUUGUUCGUGAAAACUCACAGCUUAACUGUGGGCGUGCGGGCGAUACGGGCAGACUGGAGUACUGCAGGGGAGACUGGAAUUCCUGGUGUAGCGGUGGAAUGCGCAGAUAUCAGGAGGAACACCGGUGGCGAAGGCGGGCUCU
rnacentral:rRNA from 1 species